GCCCCCGCAGCUCAGUUGGUAGAGCGCUCAGCUUUUAACUGAGUGGACGGCAGAUCAAGACUGCCCGGGGGUA